GGGGCGGGUCCGGGCAGGGCCCGGCCGCAGAUUAAAUACAAUGGAAAACUCUUGUUUCAACAACAGGACUGUUGAGAACAAAAGAUUCAGACUGCAAGUUGUAUUCAGUCAAUAGCAGAACUCUGGCUGUUCACGGUAGUUCAGAGGUUUAGGAUGAAUGCUCAAAAAUUCCUGCAUGAAACAAAAAUUCCUCACCACUGAUGAGCUUUUGCCACUAUCACAGAGCCAAGGUGAAGCUUUCAAAAAGCUCUGGCAACUUUAUCACUCCAUAAAGUGGCAGAAAAAGAGACUUUCCCUUGAAGCUAUUGUACAAUAUCCUGUUUUGUGUCCAGAGAACUUAAUUUUAUCGGUUCCUGAUUUCAAAAGUUCCUUAAUUUCAAAAAGCCUGAAUCUAACCAACACCAAAUACCCCAUCAACAAAAAAAAUCCAACC